CCUAGUCAUACACGUGGACCUAGCAGCACCCGAAGCAUUGCCCAAGGAUACUUGCUGAGAAGGAAGUUUGCCUGAGUGGUAUCUGACAAUGUGGAGGACAGAAGAAAGGGGAUUGCUGCCUGGUCAAUGUGAGGCUUUCCUCUAAAGGUAGUACCAAGUCAGACUGCCUUCCUGAUAACAGGUCUCAUUUUGUAUGGUAUAAUUUUUUGUAUGACCCUUAUUGUGUGAUUUUUGGGGAAGCGCAGUGUAAAAGCCAACAUUUUAAUGGGAUUGUAUCUUCUUUUUCUUUAAGGAGUUUUUUUUUUAAGACUUCCAUGUGUCCAAUUUGGAACUUGUGGCUAUUGGCUCCCCCUUGGGUAUAAGCUGAAAUUGAUGUUUGUGACAGAAUCUAGAGCUUUGGCUUUUUCCUUUUUGUCUAAUUAUUUAUUUCAAAUUUAGCAGGAAUAAAGUGAACCUCACCUUGGGACUGAAGCUGUGACCAGUCAGAAUAAUGUCAAAGUGCUUACAGUGCAGGUAGUGAUGUGUGCAUCUACUGCAGUGAGGGCACUUGUAGCAUUAUGCUGACAGCUGCCUCGGUGGGAGCCACAGUGGGCGCUGCCUCGGGCGGCACUGCCUGCGUCCGGUCGUCGGUCAGUCGGUCGCGGGGAGGGCCUGCUGGUGCUGCGUGCUUUUUGUUCUAAGGUGCAUCUAGUGCAGAUAGUGAAGUAGACUAGCAUCUACUGCCCUAAGUGCUCCUUCUGGCAUAAGAAGUUAUGUCCUCAUCCAAUCCAAGUCAAGCAAGCAUGUAGGGGUCUCUCCAUAGUUGUGUUUGCAGCCCUCUGUUAGUUUUGCAUAGUUGCACUACAAGAAGAAUGUAGUUGUGCAAAUCUAUGCAAAACUGAUGGUGGCCUGCUAUUUACUUCAAGUGUUGUUGUUUUUUUUUAACUAAUUUUGUAUUUUUAUUGUGUCGAUGUAGAGCCUGCGUGGUGUGUGAUGUGACAGCUUCUGUAGCACUAAAGUGCUUAUAGUGCAGGUAGUGUGUAGCAUCUACUGCAUUACGAGCACUUACAGUACUGCCAGCUGUAGAACUCCAGCCUCGCCUGGCCAUCGCCCAGCCAACUGUCCUGUUAUUGAGCACUGGUCUAUGGUUAGUUUUGCAGGUUUGCAUCCAGCUGUAUAAUAUUCUGCUGUGCAAAUCCAUGCAAAACUGACUGUGGUGGUGAAAAGUCUGUAGAGAAGUAAGGGAAAAUCAAACCCCUUUCUACACAGGUUGGGAUUUGUCGCAAUGCUGUGUUUCUGUAUGGUAUUGCACUUGUCCCGGCCUGUUGAGUUUGGUGGGGAUUGUGACCAGAAGAUGUGAAAAUGACAAUAUUGCUGAAGAUGCCGAUUUCCACUGUAAAAAUGUUCACAAGCUGAUGGAGUGUAUGAACACAUUCUGUAAACUGUGAUUUCUAUUGCUUCGUUAGUGUGUGAAACGGGAUUUUUUUAUUGAAAUUUGUGUUUUUAAAUUGUGGUUUGUUUUUACUGAAUCAUUUCAUUUUCGGGUUUGCUCGCUGGAUUUAGUAAGAAGUUGUGUGGGGGGGCUUAGGUGAAUUUAAACUGCCUUUUGAACCUGGUAUGACUCCAGGUAUAUUUUACUCUAAAAUCCAUUAACAUGAGUUAAGAAAAAUGUUACUUUCUUUGGAUCUCUGUUUAUUAAAGUGUGACAAUUCAGAUGGAGUGUUUUCUGAUAAGAUUAUUCCUAAUCUGUGAGUUCUUAACAGUUAACAGGUGGUGGCCACUCUGUUAAUGUGCACACCCUGUAAGAAAGAACUAUCCUUGGACUGUUCUUACCAUGUGAAAGGGAAAGAUGGCAAACUGAUGGUCAGUAGAGUGACAGGUACACAUGACACUUGAGUGCUGUGGAGCCUGGGUCUGGAGAAGCUGCAGUUAGUGUUUAGGAGAACAGUAUAUAUAAUAUAUAAUUCUCUACAUUUGGGCAGCACAGUUGGUUUCAGGCUAUGAAUAAAAAUCAUUGGAGUGAAACCUAAAGAAAAGUAAAAUUAAUAAGGAAGAGCUGCUAAAAUCAGGUUUAAGCUGACACUAUCUACAGAGCUAAAGUUUUCCAUAAUAUGUUGCUUUUUUUUAAAAGAAAUGCAAGAAGCUGAUUGAUGGAUCCCUGAGCUGCAAGGUAAGGAUUCCACAGGCCUGGGUUUGAUUGUGAGUGACCAGAAUUGUACAAUUAUUUACUAAAACAGAAACAUAGUCACUUCUGACUCCAUUCUUAACCUUUUUGGAUUAAAACUUGUUUCAGAUGACUAAUGAAAAACACUUCCUUUAAAACGUGAUAAAGCUCUAAUGUCAGCACGAUCCACAUGAUCCAGGUGCCUCCUAUAAAGGGAGGGUCUGUCACAAGUGUUAUGGAUUGAAUGCUACGUUUAUCUUCCAACAUAGGAAGCCUGCCAGGUACUUUCUUCAAUAUACUAAAUUAGAAGUUUAACAUUAAUAAGGUCUUAAUUAGGACCUUUGGAUGCUGAGCUUGUGGUAGUAAUUGUGUUCAGAAUGUUUUGAACUUAAAUUGAGAUUUAAUUUUAGUAAGGAAUGUGUGUCUUAGAGGCCUAGUAGUGAAGAGGAGUUUUCCUAGGAUUUUCCCCUCUCCCUUAAUUAAGCUGCUUUCUACACUAAGGGCUUCACGCAGCAACGCACUUGAGUUCAGUUCCGAGGAGGGGGCUUUGUUGACUGUCUGCUCUAAAACUGUUGGCAAAACAGCUUUGGUCUCUCUCUUAGACUUUUUGAUUUUGUAGUAACUAGGGCAUAUAGUUGCUAUAAGCUUUCAGGAAUGGGGGUGGGUUACUAAUGUCUUGUGUUAUAUGAAAGUAGUUAAAUUUAUUCUAUAUUUAGAAGGAAGCAUUAUUUAGACUAUAAACUGUUGAUUUUACUAAACUCUUAAGAUGUCCAUUUUAACAGGCAAACCUAGCACAGAAAACCAGCUGGAUUUUCCCUGUGCAUGGUUUGAAGAGUCAGUCCUACAUAAUUGCUGACACAAUGCAACCUGCAGCUGCCCGGAGAAAGAACAAUGUCACUAAAAUUUGUUGUAUUUAUCAUCCAAUUCUGUUCUGUAACUGGUAACACUAGUUUGUCUGGCUUUAGAGAAUAGGUGAAUCUCUAAAACAGUAGAAACAGCUCAGUUGGGCAAGGGCCAUUCUAGUAGCAUGCCUGCUCCUUGGAGUUUUCCAGAUUAUUUUGUAUAGCCUAUUCCAGAUUCUUGUCUAAGACUGCUUUGCUCUGUGCACUCAGAAUCGGUGUGCCUUUCUGUUUGUGUAAAUGACAUAUAACACAUUGCUAGUUGUCUCGGGUCUAUUCAGGAAGUGCGUGCUGUGAAUUUUAAAGUUUGGGAAGAUUGUUAACAAGGGCUUCAAUGUUUUGCUUUUUUCUGGUAAGCUAAAAUAGGCAGAACAUUGUGAGGUACCUGGUUUAUUGUGGUUACAGACUUGGAAUAAUGUUCAUUGUUUUGUGCUAAUAAAUUGUGUUAAAAUUUGGUGUACAUAUGAGCAUUUUAAAAUAAAGUUAUUUUGUAGCACUGA
rnacentral:lncRNA from 1 species